UCCAAUUAAAUACUUGGUUCAGUAACUUCAUUUGGAGUGGUGUUAUCCUCAUCAGAAAAAUUUGCACAAUGGCAAGGUGAGUAGUUUGCAAACCUGUGGAUAAGGGCGGUUCUGGAAUCUGAUCAGCAAAGAAACUUAAUGACGCAUUGCCGCUUAAGCUAACUUGGGAGUUCAUGACCUGUUAGGAGGAGUGUGCAGUAGUUUGCAGAGCAAGAUAU
rnacentral:lncRNA from 1 species